GAUCAUGUAAAACAGCUGCGCAGCGACCCUGUCACACUCGGCUGCUUAGCUGAGAUGACUCAUGACGGCUCUGCAGAUGCGUCCACACCAAGAAUGCGUUGAGCAUUUUGUUUGGUCCUCAUCAGCUCAGUUUGUUUGACCAGAAAAGACAGCAGUAUGCCUCCGUCCUGCUGCUCAGCACUUUAAUCCGGGCUGAACGAACAGAGAGAUUAAAACAGCUGAAGAUGAGACAUGAUGAAAGAGGGUCACAGCUGUCAGCAGGAUGUGGGCAGGUGAAGAGACGGGAGUUGCCGGGGACAGCGGAGGGCAGACGUGCAGGUUGGAGGUUUUUAAUCAGCGCAGAGCCACUUCUUCAGUUCCUGGAACAUGACGCUGCGUACUGCGGAGGGAAGGGGAAACACACCCAACCGCUGUGGAUUUGAGAUCAGUCUUAUGUUUGCUGAAACCCCCCCACCCCUGGUACACAGAAUUCUUGCAGCCACUGUAGAAAAUAAAGACAUGAAACAAUAAUAAAU